AUUGAACGCUGGCGGCAGGCCUAACACAUGCAAGUCGAACGGCAGCGGGGGGUAGCUUGCUACCUCGCCGGCGAGUGGCGGACGGGUGAGUAAUGCCUGGGGAGCUGCCCAAUCGAGGGGGAUACCAGUUGGAAACGACUGCUAAUACCGCAUACGCCCUGAGGGGGAAAGGUGGGGAUCUUCGGACCUACCGCGAUUGGAUGCACCCAGGUGGGAUUAGCUAGUUGGUGAGGUAACGGCUCACCAAGGCGACGAUCUCUAGCUGGUCUGAGAGGAUGACCAGCCACACUGGAACUGAGACACGGUCCAGACUCCUACGGGAGGCAGCAGUGGGGAAUAUUGCACAAUGGGGGAAACCCUGAUGCAGCUAUGCCGCGUGUGUGAAGAAGGCCUUCGGGUUGUAAAGCACUUUCAGCGAGGAGGAAAGGUUGGCAGCUAAUACCUGUCAGCUGUGACGUUACUCGCAGAAGAAGCACCGGCUAACUCCGUGCCAGCAGCCGCAGUAAGAC
rnacentral:rRNA from 1 species